GGAGAAACUUAGAAGUUCUUCUAUUUCAUUUUAUAACCAGCAAUGCCCGGACACGGAUGUCCGGGCAAGGAGCAAUCGAACCUGGAUGGUUCGUUGUGACGUUUGCGUUAUACUUCAAAAUCUUACAUGAAAUAGUUAGAACUUCUUAGUUUCGGA
rnacentral:ncRNA from 1 species